UGAGGAAUAUUGGUCAAUGGGCGCAAGCCUGAACCAGCCAUCCCGCGUGCAGGAAGACGGCGAUAUGCGUUGUAAACUGCUUUUCCAGGGAGAGAAACUUGCGCACGUGUUGCGCAAUUGACGGUACCCUGGGAAUAAGCAUCGGCUAACUCCGUGCCAGCAGCCGCGGUAAUACGGAGGAUGCGAGCGUUAUCCGGAUUCAUUGGGUUUAAAGGGUGCGUAGGCGGACUAUUAAGUCAGUGGUGAAAUCCUGCAGCUUAACUGCAGAACUGCCAUUGAUACUGAUAGCCUUGAGUUUGGUUAAGGUAGGCGGAAUGUGUAAUGUAGCGGUGAAAUGCUUAGAUAUUACACAGAACACCAAUUGCGUAGGCAGCUUACUGAGCCGACACUGACGCUGAGGCACG
rnacentral:rRNA from 1 species